rnacentral:sRNA from 1 species
GAGAGAGAGAGAGAGAGUGUGUGACUGAAUCACAAGGGGAGGCACCUGAAGAACCCAGAGCUGUGGAAUCCGAAGGUGAAGGAGGACCUGGAUUUGCUAUGGGGAGGAAACGGGAAAUUCAGUGUGUGCGGUCUCCAGGGCUAGGCAGGCACACCAGGCUGUACACAACUAGGCCAAUUCAAGUCUAUAGUCUAUUUAAAUUAGGUGAAAAGAUAACUUCCUCCUCAAAGAUUCAUCAUUCCUAACAGUAUUACUCUUUUAAGUCACCCCACUGCUCUCUGGACAGAAAAUUCCUGAUCUGGUCAGCAGUUGCACACCUUUGAUCCCAGCACUCAUGGAUCUCUGUGAGGUCGAGGCCAGCCUGAUCUAUGUAACGAGUUCUAGGACAGUGAGGACUAUGUGGAAAGACCCUGCCUCAAAAGAAAACUCCAACAGGACAGAGAUUUGGCCCCCUUCUGUGUGAGCCUCCAGGAUCUCUCCGCUCUGUCAGCUUCCCUCUCACAGUGGCAGAGACUGGGUGUGGAGACUGUGAACUCAGGGUGCGGGGGUUUGGGGGGAGGUCUUUCCAGAUAUGAAGGCCGAAUCUGCCUGCUUCCGAGGCAGACAAGGGGCAUCGGCAUUAACUCAGCUCCGGAAAAGCCUAGCGAGCACAUAUUCAGGUAUUUACUCAAACAUUCCCUCCGGGCUGCAGAGCCAGCUCAGCAGAGAAGGGCACUUACUGCUCUUGCAGAGGACACGGGUUCUGUUCUCAGCCACCAUAUCAGGAAGCUCACAACCACCUUGUAACUCUAGCUUCGGGGUUUCUGAUGCGCCCUCCUGGCUUCCAUGAUACCUGAACUCGUGCGCUCGAGAACGCGCGCGCAUGCGCACACAUACACGCGCUUAAAUCUUUUUUUUUUUUUCUUUAAUUCCCUCUUACAAGGAGCAGGGAACUCGUGGAACUUUCAGGACUCCCAGGCUCCUCCUCAAGGUGGUAUGAUCAACCAACAACUGUAGGUUGACCAGGGGAGACUCCUCGGUCUGUAAGGAACUGCAGAAGCGCGUUGAGUCCUUUGGGGUGCAGAAGGCGAGACCAGAUACAGUGUCACAUGUGUGAAAACACACCAGACUUUUGACUAAGUUCAAGCUAUCCUGGAACUCAAGAUCCUCUGACGUCUCCCAUGUGGAGACUCCCGCCUGUGUUACCACACCAUCACUCCAAUCUAAGCCAGCCUCGCAGCUGUGGAGGCAGCUUCUGCCUGAGAACCUGACUGCCUAAUUGGUGACAAAGACAAUGGCUGCCGGUUGGGAACUGUCACUUGGAAGACGUGCUUGCUUGGGACUGACCGACAGGACUCAUUCGGUCUACACUGCAUCUUGGGGCAGCAGAGAGUCUGGCUACUUCCUCCUUUCACUUUCUGAAGAUGAGGCCCCAAAAAGGACUUCUUACAAAGUAUUGGUGGAACGGCAAAGUCCCUGGUGCUGGAAAGACACGGUGAUCUGUCUCCUGACUGCUUUAUGAUGCAGUCUACCCAAAGUGUCUGCAAGAGACCCCUGCCAUCUUAUUAAAAACCGGGUUCCAAAUUUAUCUGAGUUUGACACGAAACCAUAUUUUCAUUAAAAAGUUUUACAAACUAUGUCAAUCACAAUGGAAUUCUUAUUAGUCUGGUGUUUUUUGGCAACGAGCCUACAGACCCCAAGGGGACUUCAGUGUGAACUUUGUAGGCGCUGUGAUGAUGGGCCACUCUUUCACAGCUAACGAAGAUGUAUUUGUCUUUUACUACCCCCUAAUCAAGUGGCUGGCUGUCUUACAUACCCCUCGAUAAGUAGGCUGACGACCUCCAUCAUGGGAUACCCACAUGCCCACUGCAGAUGGGAAACCUGCAAACACUAGCUAUCCACCAGCAGUACAUGCACAGGCAUGUUUCACUCUCAUGGCCUCAGUUUCCCCACAAUGACUACCUCCCAUGCAGACACAGGCUAAACGAUAUUUAUACAGUACUCCAAGCAUUCCUGUUGGGGGAAGGCUUUUUAGUGAGUGACAGGGACAUCACUGUCCCAUGUCACAAGUCACAUUAAGACAAUUACAGCCAUGAAUUGGCAAAUCUGCUGACCGGGCUGAUAUAUUUUCAAAAGCAACAUGUCUGUCCAAAUGUUCGCAGGGUCCUUGGAGGCUCUGAGGAAGCCAGGGUGGAGCUUUUCUUUGGGUUUGUCUAUGGCGACAUUUGCAGAAACAGAAGGAAAUUAAGUCGAAGACUUGUCUUUAGAUAAACUGGGAAACUAGUUCACUCAAAGGCAAAAAACAGUGAACGAGGCUCAGAAUUCUUUUCAGAUGUUUGACCCAAGAAGCAUCCGGUACUUGGUCAAGCAUUGUUUGCCAGAGUCUUGUGUGUGGAUGCCCCUGGCUCAGACAGAAGAAGCUGCCUUUGUCAGGUAGAGAAAUGGCCUCCUUCAAAGCAAAGAAACAGACAAGGAAUGGGCGGGAUGGGAACAUUUAACAGUGAUGAGUCCAAAGGCCCAGAUGAGUACGGUGUCCCUGAUUGGCAAAAUUAUAAUGGUGCAAAGCAAUGAGGAGCAGAAACCUAACUUUUGUUUUCUUAAUGUCUUCCUGGAGGACCUUCCCACUCCUGUCAGCUCAACUUUGGAGAGUCUCUAGAAGCAUCAUCCUUCCCUCCAACACAAACUGUCUUCUCUUGUUCUUGCGCCAUGCCGAAUGUGUCUUUGGCUACCAACGUCUUUAACCCUUUCCAAGUACUAGAAAAAUCUACGAGAUGCCAGAUUCUUUCCAGUGUGGGAAGACUUCUGCUGUGAGACCCAGACCUAUGAAAAGUCCAGCAACAGCGUUUCUCUGAGUCCCUCUCCUAUUGGCUUUCGCCCACCUGCUGCCCAGGCGUGAAAUCUUUCCCACCUUGGGUGGACACAGAAUUCAAUCUGAUCACUAGCCUCUUAGAGCUCACAGAGUCAGUGGGUCUCUGCCCUGGAUCCCACUCCUGCUCACCUCACACCUUGUCCAUGUUCCCACAAGACUUGCUGGUGAGGCACGUUUUACAGGGAAACUGAAUUACUCAGUUAUCUAACUUUGCGUUGGAACAACAGAGUCGACCCUCGUGGAUGGCUGAUGUUCUGAUGUUCGUUCAACAACUGCCUUUAGCACAGCAGUUCACCCGAAUUAAUUUCCACUGAGGCUUGACCAGGCAUCGAGCUGAGGCACAGCUGGCAUCCUCUCUGUGUCCCAGCCCCUUUGGAGGUUCCAGACUCCAAGGUGAGGUGUGGUAGUUGUUGCAGGGCGUUAGGGUUUCUUCCCGUAUACCUUCCUGAUAGUGUUUAGACAAAGCAGCUAUGGGAGCCAGGCUGUUGAGGCCAGCCCAGUUCUUUGCCCAUAUUGUAUGGCCUGUCUUCUUCCGACAGUGAGGAAUCCCCCCUACACUUGGCCCGGGAGAAGUCAGAUACUCAGGUGAGGUCCAAUAACUCUCCCUACCCCCUCCUUCCAGGAGGACUGUCAACAGUCACACAGCCACAGCUUCUGUCUUGAGGAUGAAGGACUGGCACAGAAGACAGAGCUUCGCAACAGUCUCUCUGUUUGCCAUUCACCAUGAGUUUGGCUCUGCCACGCCUCUGGCCACGCCUCUGGCCACGCCCCACCACGCCCCCGCUAUGACACACAGGCUCAGAAGCAACAGUGUCUGCUGACCUGAGCUGACCCCUCUGAAACCGGGAACAAAAAGCAUCCUCCCUGAAUUAGUCGGAUAUUUUGUUGUAGUGAUGAAAAGUGGCUCAUCCACCACCUGUGUUAUUCAAAUUCUCAGCAUCACCCAAGCAACUGGCAGGUCCUCACGGGAUAUCCACUACAGGCCAUACCUCCUCAGUGAGGAAAGCAAGGCCCAGAAGCAAAUGACGUGACAAUGAUACUCAAACUAAACCCGUCCAUCAUGACACCCAGAUGGUGGUAACUGUCCACAUAGCUUUGAGUUCCAUAAAUGACAGAUGUCUAGGAAAUCAAAUGCAAACAUUUUUAAACAAAUUAUAAGUGGAAAUGUGCCAGGACCAAGGGAUUCGAUGUUAACCGAGGAGGUCCCAGGGGGACUCUGCACCGCUGACUGUAUAGCUGUGAGGACCUUUCCAGAGGUGACCAAAGCAUGAGGACUCAGUGGUUUAAUCCAUCCAUGGUUUCAAAAUCUAAAUCGAUGCCUGGCAGACGGAAGGGCUGUGCAGGACUGUGGAAGGCGGGGUCUGUGGAGGAAGUUAGUCACUAGGGGUAUGGCUCUGGCUUCUGCUUAUUCUCUCUGCUUCCAGUAUUUGUGAUGUGAGUCCCUAUGCUCCGCAUCCUUCCACCACGAUGUUCUGCCUCCCCACAGGCCCGGAGACAAAGGAACCAGAUUGCACACAGUCUGACGUUUCUGAAACCCUGAGCCAGCAUAAACUCUUGACCUUUGAACUUGUUUCUCUCAGGUAUUUGUCAGAGAGAUGGGAAGUCUGACACAAAGCCCAAGAACGUGAGAGGAAACCCUCGACUUCAUUUCCCUCCUGAGUGGAACCAAGCAACUGCUCACACAGGGACAGCCCAUUCCCCGGCGCCAUGCUGCAGCAAGGACUCAUGGGAUUUCCAAGCCUCGGGCCGUGAUCCUGAGCAGGGAUGUGGGACAACAUGAACUCGGGAUGCUCCGCUGUGCUGCUGGAGCUGGAGAAGCAUGUCAGUAAACGCAACACAACACCAGCAACUGUAGAUUUCAAAGUGUUCUUUCCACAGCAUCGCGACUGACAUCCCAGCAACAAAGAGGGAUGCGGGGUUGGGGAAAGAUGGAGUGAGUCAGCUCCUCCCCCUUCUCCACUGCAGGAAGUCCCUGGUCUGCCUUGUCCUGCAGAUCACAGGGGCUAUCAGGUUCCAGUGCUCUGGGUCAGGUGAUCACACAAUCCAGCUCAAAGUGCAGAUUUCCAUAUACAUGGAACGGCUCAUCUCCCAUCCCACGGUUGGUCGCUAGGCUCAAUAAAUAUUUGUGAGAGUUUAUAUUCCCUGAAGCCUCAGCAGGUAUGGAGCCAAGCCACAAACAAAGCCUGGAGUACAAAAGCCAGAGAGCAGAGCACCACGGGGGCGGGGCAGCCAGAGAGCAGAGCACCAUGGGAGACCGGCAUCCAGAAAGCAGAGCACCAUGGGAGUUGGGGGAUGGGUGUUGCAGAGAGCAGAGUACUAUGAGAGUGUGGCAACCUGAGAACAGUGCAGAGCAGAGCACCAUGGGAUUGGUGCAGCCAGAGAGCAGAGCAUCAUAGGAACAGGCAGAGCACAAGGCAGAGUCCUCACCCCUAAGAGAAUUUCAGAUCCUCACGGUACUAGGGUGAUUUGGUUGGCACAUUUCAGUAAGUUAAGAGCUGAGGUAGCAUCCAGAACCUUUACUAAAUGCACACAUGAAAACGUUCAGUGAGAACAGACAAGCCUAGUUUUUUCAUAUUUCAAAUUGAGCCACAAAUCGGAGCCUUGUCUCCAUUUUCAGAUGAAUUAAAAUGAGGAAGAGAAAUGUAAGUGUCCCCGGGGCACGUCCCCCUUCAAACAAUCUCCUGGGGAUGAAGAUAAUAGAUGUUUAAGGCAGGGAGUGUAUAGGACUAGUGAUCAAUAAUACAAAGGGGAUAGGAAGAUGGAUAAGAACGAAAAGGCUCUCACUCCAAGCCUGAUGACCUAAGUUCAAUACCCGGAAGGAGAGAGGAAGAGAGAAAAGAUCAUUUGGAAUAUUUGUUUAUUGAGGCUUUGAGGUUCACAUCCUAUCACUUCUAGCUGGGAAAUUUCUGAAUCACUGAUUUUUUUUUUUUUUUUUACUCCUGUAAAGUCCUUCCUGUGAAAUGUCCCAGGUUGACCUUGAGCUCUGAGGACAAGCUCCCCUCACCAGACUCUUUCCCAACAAAGGUGUCAGGUUCCUCUGCUCCAGCUGGCUCCAAAAAUAAUAUCCUAAUCUUUUGCUUUCAGCCUUUGUGAUGGUGGAAGUAGAUCCCUGGAGUGUGUCCUUAGGUGCUCCAGUUCCUCACCUCCUUAUGUCCCCUCAUGAUUCCUGGCAGCCAUCCUGUGAGCCACUCUGCUCUCUGCCUCGCUCUCCUAACCGUGAUGGACAGAAAUGUUGGACGGUGUUCUGCUGGGGCAAACACACGAAGGAACGUUUCCCUGAGGCAGACACAAGAAAAAGGAUGUUCUACUCAAGCAAGCACAUGAAAGGACACGUGAUGAAGGAUUUUUUUUCGCCAGCAACACCCACUUAUUAGUCCAACUUACACUGUGUAGUUGAGCUGCAUUUGUCGGGACUCUAAAGGGAGAGAGAUGCACUGAAAACUUUUGGCGGUGCACUUCAGUUUCUUGCUGCUUCCACAGACUUGGGGCUGAUUGGCAGAGUGAUGUCAGCCGAGACAGACUCACGUGUGGAGGAUACGUGAUUUUGGAGGGAGUAAAAAAGGACUCAACGGACAGUGACUGGCUGAGCUCGGCUUGCUUAUACAGCUAGCUGUGCAAUGCUUGUUAGUCUCAAGUCUUCCCUGAUCUCGUUGCUGAGAGAGGCACAGCCUGGUGUUUCUGUUGGCCCUGGUCCCACCUGCUGACUCUUGCUGAGGCCGAGGCCUGGCUGUCUCUGCUAGGUUGUGCCACCUGUUUGCUAUCCCGACUCUACCGAACUGGACUGCUGGUAUACCCGUGAAGGGUUUGCGAGUGGACUGAGCUGCUGACCUGUGAACUGAACUGCUAGUCUCCAGCUACCACUGAUGGGAGUUGCUCCAAAGAUCCUUUCUAAACAGGUCCACCUCGCCCCAACACACUCCCCUCUCCUCCCUGCACCCUUCCCUUCCGUAUCCUUCCUUUUCUACUACCUCUGGAGGGUGGUGGGCUACAAGGGAGGUUAAAGCAUUUAAGAACCAUCAUUAAAAAUAAGAUUAGAAAAAACUAAAAUUGCACAGAACCUUCCAAAACCACAAACCAAAAAAAAUCCUUUCCCCUUAGGUUUACUUUCUUUUUGGUCACAGUGACACAAAAGGGUGGGUAUGUCCGUGAUCACCUGUGUGUUCAACGUCGAUGGGAACACACCACUGAGACAUGACUCAGGUGUCCACCUAAAUCUGAGGUGGAUGAGGACCCAUUUGCAGGUGGAUUCCUGGGGGCCUCAGAUUGUCUGGGAAGAAGACAGAUGAAAAGCAGGCUCUGAGACUCUUAUAAGCCAAUGCCACAGACAAGUAAGGACAUUUACAGUGACAACCACUGACGUGGAGAAGGGACUGGGGGUGGGGCACUGCUGAUGGAGGCUGGGUGGGUACUGGUCCUGUGGGUUGUGGGGCCCCUCAAGAAGUCAGGAGUGGCAGAUCCCAUCAGACAUGCAUUCCUGGCAAACAUUUCUGCCCUGACUCUGACCUCCAUGGGCUGCCAAAGCCAGUUUCCCUGAGAGGGUGUCUGAGACAUGAGGUGACAGUGGUGGCCUCAAGAAACCCAAUUCUGAAGCAUUGGGCUAUCAUUAGUUCCUGUGUCUUUGAAGGCUGACACGCAGAGAGCCAAGAGCCCGGGUCUCAGGCCACUCCAAAAGGAAAGUGUAUCAGAAAAGUCUGAAGUUGUCCACCAUCCCUCUGUGUUACCUUUAAAUAGAAGGUCCCUGCCUCCCCCCCUUUUUUUUCUUACCAUAUUUGAAAUAAUUAAAAUACAGCAUCACUUUGCAACUCUUAGAGGCAGAAAAGCUGUCCCCUUUCGCUCCUCUCUCACAGAGAACACACCCAGGAUGGGCUAGGCACCUGCUGCCUUCUGCUUAGUGAAGCUCCCUGUUUUACUCUGCUAUGUAAGCUACUGCUACUUGGGCACCACCCGCCUCUUCUGAUAGCUGUUCUCUGACUUUGCCCAGGUUUUUUCUUGGAGACUUUGGCAGUCUAGGCCUGGAUAUUGUUGCCAUCUUCCAAAAGCCCUUAAGUAUUCUCGUAUCGGAAACUCGGUAACAGCAACGGGAAAAGUGGGCAUUGCGGAGGGGGAACCCGGCUAUUGAGACUCGGCGUGGCAAUCGACAUGCAUUUGAAAACCAGGCUGAGAAACAGGCUUCCUGACACUGGCUACUGUGCCUGCGCAUACACGUUCCCACUGGCUUCUUUCCUCCCCUAGAAGUUACCUGCUAACUUUUUUUUUUUUUUGGUUCUUUUUUUGUUACCUGCUAACUUGAUAAAUGCGUCCUCUAAAAGCUCCACAUGUAAGCCCACCACUGCCACACCAGUGGCUCCCCCAGGCUCCAAAAGUAAAUCUACUUUCCAUCUCCUCCCUGUCCCCACAUCAAAGCUCUCCAUGAGGAAUUAAAACAAGAACAACCCCUCGUGUCAGUAUAGAAGAUAACUGUUUUUCCUAAGUGACACAGAAAAAUAGAGAGAGAUCAGGAAUGCACAUGUGUCUUAAUGUAAAAUUUCUGUAUCCAAUGUCUAGGGACCUCAUUAUAUCUAACUUUAUAGGGCUCAAACAAUUCAAUCAAUAAAAAGACAGAAGGAUUUAGUUUAGAAGUUUCUCUGCCCAUAUACCAUCUAAGGCAUGUUCAGGUUUGGUCGUUUGGAAUGACCAUACUUCAGGGGUUAAGUCUGUCUCCCCCUUGCACUUGUGCACGGUGCCCUAGUACAUUUUACGGUGACAGCCACAAGCUGGUUUACAGCUGUAAUCGAGCCUGCAAGACAAGAGGACCUUUGUAAUUGUCAUAGCAGAGAGCACAAUUGCAACUGACUUUGAAACAUACCGUAAACUCAUUAUGCUAAGAUAGAAUAGCUUCUACUUUGGGGCUCACUAUGAAUAUUAAUGUCGGAGCUCUUGGUGAAAAAAAUGUGCUCUAAAUUUUAUAAAACCCGUUUAAUACCAAAGAAAGUGUUAUUUAUAGUCUGUGGGCUUCUCCAUCGAUGUCAUUAAGUAUUCCAUUAAACAUGGCAGAACAGAAUGAAUAGUCACGGAGCAUUAAUGCAGGAGCAACGAUCGCCCUUCCAGAAUCAGGCCAGAAAGAUGCAAGCUGCAAACGUAAGCAGGGAGGACAGGGAGCACGGACAAAGUUUGUCCUGUGCAGACUCCUGGGGGCAGUGGAAGGUGCCACGGGGGGAUGUGGUGCAGUAUUGGUAAUGGAGAAGUAAUCGGGAUGGAACUGAAAGGAUGCAAGGAGUGGGUGAUGGAGCUAAGGGUGCGAAAUACUCCAGAAGAGGAGGGAAGAAGCAUGAGGAGGUGAUGGAGCCAUGGAGGAGGUGAUGGAGCCAUGGGGGAGGUGAUGGAGGCAUGGAGGAGGUGAUGGAGCCACAGAGGAGGUGAUGGAGUCAAGAGAAGGUGAUGGAGUCACAGAGGAGGUAAUGGAGCCAUGGGGGAGGUGAUAGAGCCACAGAGGAGGUGAUGGAGGCAUGGAGGAGGUGAUGGAGCCACAGAGGAGGUAAUGGAACCAUGGAGGAGGUGAUGGAGUCACUGAGGAGGUGAUGGAGCCAUGGGGAGGUGAUGGAGCCAUGGCACAGGUGAUGGAGCCCAGAGGAGGUGAUGGAGCCAUGGAAGAGGUGAUGGAGCCACAGAGGAGGUGAUGGAGCCAUGGAGGAGGUGAUGGAGCCAUGGGGAGGUGAUGGAGCCAUGGCACAGGUGAUGGAGUCACAGAGGAGGUGAUGGAGUCACUGAGGAGGUGAUGGAGCCAUGGCACAGGUGAUGGAGGCACGGAGGAGGUGAUGGAGUCACUGAGGAGGUGAUGGAGUCACUGAGGAGGUGAUAGAGCCAUGGAGGAGGUGAUGGAGUCAUGGAGGAGGUGAUGGAGCCAUGAGGAGAUGAUGGAGCCAUGAGGAGGUGAUGGCUGAAGAGAGAAGAAAUGAGGCAAGGACAUCUUCCUGCAGCAUGGUCCAGCAGCAUCUCCUGCCUGUGUCCACAGAGACUGAGAAGAGCUCUUCAACUGCAUGCUGAAUGCCUGUUGUUCUGAGCAUAGGUGGGAAGCCACUGAGAACCUAUGCUGCCCACAGGAAAGCCCAGGCAGCUCCACAGGCCGGCCUGUCCACCAGCCUUCAAAGACAUGGAGAGUUUCCAUCUACCAUUUUCUGGAGCCCCCUCCUUCAGCUCCCAGGGCCACAUUUACCAGCAGACCAGGAGAUCACCACACAGUUUUGGAAGGAAAACAUCCCUAUGGCCACGAAGUGUUGCUUUAGUGGUUCUAGUGAAAAGAACAAGAGAUGACAGUGGGAAAAGCGAGAGAAGCCUUUCGCCAGCCAGGAGAUGCACACAUCUCUCCUCCUGUGCUUCAGUGGUAGAGUAAGCAUGAGAAAAGCCAUAUCUCAAGCUUGGUGAAGAAGAAAUGAGUUGGUUCAUUAGGGUCUAACUUCAGCAGCUUCCUUGUAUGGCCUACUCAUCAACCCUUUAGAGGGCCUCUGGCCAUCAUCGGGCUUCCACAUCAUCCUGCUUGUACUCAGCUGUAGUAGUGAGCCUGAGGGAUAAGCCUUCCUUAGGAAUCCCAUCAAACAGAACAAAACCCCAUGUCAAGGUGAAACCUUAGAAGGAGAGGGCUCUCAGGCUUCUCUCUGUGAGGCUAUAAGAUGCAACCUUGUCUCAGUUUCCCCAUGUAUGAAACAGUCCUCCCACCAGAGCCGGCAGCAUUAGUGAUCCAGGGAUGUAGGAAUUGCAUUAUGUCUAGCUCUAGCAAAAUGCCUGCUUCUUACAGGAGGGGUGAGAGGGGAGAUACCACCAAAAAGGGAUGACAACGUAUCAGAAACCACUCCUUCUCUAAGAACAAUGAAAUCCACACUAGGUCUAACUCCUCUGUGCAUAAGCAAGGAAUCCAAGAAAUGCAAACUGGGAACACAGUAAAGAGCAGUGGAGGGUGAGGUCUCUGAGGAGCUCACAUUUAAACUUCUGAAGAGCUGGACAAGAGACACUGCUGCUCACAGAACAGGGCUGUCCCAGCUAAAUUCUAAAAACCAUCCGAGUGGCAACUACUUCCAAAUCAUGUUGUAAAUAUGAAACACAAUUCUGUAACUGUUUGGCUGACUGACAUCAUUGACCCUGAAACCAGGGACACAUUAAUCUCAUGGGUGGGAAAGAAUCUAGAUUCAAUAGUGAUCAAGGACUGUGGCAAGAUCUACAGUGCUUGCUCCAGUUCCCACACAUAGUAACCUUUGCUCCAGUUCCCACACAUAGUAACCUUGGCUCCAGUUCCCACACAUAGUAACCUUUGCUAUAGUUUCUACACAUAGUAACCUUUGCUCCAGUUCCUAUACAUAGUAACCUUUGCUCCAGUUCCCACACAUAGUAACCUUUGCUCCAGUUCCCACACAUAGUAACCUUUGCUCCAGUUCCCACACAUAGUAACCUUUGCUAUAGUUUCUACACAUAGUAACCUUGGCUGCAGUUCCUACCCAUAGUAACCUUUGCUCCAGUUCCCACACAUAGUAACCUUUGCUCCAGUUCCCACACAUAGUAACCUUGGCUGCAGUUCCUAUACAUAGUAACCUUUGCUAUAGUUCCCACACAUAGUAACCUUGGCUCCAGUUCCCACACAUAGUAACCUUUGCUCCAGUUCCCACACAUAGUAACCUUUGCUCCAGUUCCUACACAUAGUAACCUUUGCUCCAGUUCCCACACAUAGUAACCUUUGCUCCAGUUCCCACACAUAGUAACCUUUGCUCCAGUUCCUAUACAUAGUAACCUUUGCUCCAGUUCCCACACAUAGUAACCUUGGCUCCAGUUCCCACACAUAGUAACCUUUGCUCCAGUUCCCACACAAAGUAACCUUUGCUCCAGUUCCUA